rnacentral:rRNA from 1 species
AGAGUUUGAUCAUGGCUCAGGAUGAACGCUAGCUACAGGCUUAACACAUGCAAGUCGAGGGGCAGCAUGUUGGUUGCUUGCAACCAAUGAUGGCGACCGGCGCACGGGUGAGUAACGCGUAUCCAACCUACCCUUGUCCAUCGGAUAACCCGUCGAAAGGCGGCCUAACACGAUAUGCGGUUCUCAGCAGGCAUCUAACGAGAACGAAAUGUGAAGGAGAAGGAUGGGGAUGCGUCUGAUUAGCUUGUUGGCGGGUAACGCCACAAGGCACGAUCAGUAGGGUUCUGAGAGGAGGUCCCCACAUUGGAACUGAGACACGGUCCAACUCCUACGGGAGCA